CCAUUUCCCUCCGUCCCUCCCCAGCCCAUCCAGGAUGACAUCAUGGUGUGUACACCUUUAAGAUUAUAUAAAUCUGUGAUCAGACAGUGGCCUCCAUCCCCAUGGUAACGCGGAGGAGUUUCCCUUUUGUGAGGAAAGCUGUCAUGUCACUUCCUGCUGCUGACAAAUCAGUUUAGGAGAUUAAAAUACAGGGAGGGGGGCGGGGAGCUGGAGCAGGCCUCUGAGAACUGCCGGCUGCGGUGGUUUCUGGUUGCCAUACACAGAGGCAAACAAAGCCGAGGCCACGCGGGGUAGCCCCGCCCAACGCCAGGCUCCGGCUCCGGUUUCCCACCCCUCACCGGGUGGAGCCAGGUCACCCCGGGAUGUUUUCCUGCGCAGGUUGCCUUCUGGGGAGCAGGUGGGAGGGCUGCCCACCUCUAGGGACUUUUCUGGGGCUCUGUAGGGCCCGCCUGCUGGAGAACAGCCUCUGGGUCCAGAGGAGCCUCCGCGCCCCUCUUAUCAGCUCAGAAGGCGGUGUGGUGCUUGGUUCUCCGGAAAACAAAGGGUAUGCGCCUUGGGGCACCAAGCAGACAAAAGUGCUCUGCUAAGGAAAAUACCUUAAAACCACCUUUUUCUCCACGGUGGCUUUUUAUGCUAAGCAGCAGGGCCGUUCAUUCAUUCAUUCAUUCAUUCGUUCAUUCAACAAAUAUUUUUUGGCACCCUAUGCCUAGGGACACUUUGGCCCAGGACAAAGUUCCCAUUCUCAAGUAGCUAACAAUGGGGGCAGGGGGUGGAGGGAGGGGAAGAAGGCAAUAUAUAAAGAAGAUCAUUAAGAAAUAAGAUGAAGGGGCGCCUGGGUGGUUCAGCGGGUUGAGCGUCGGCUCAGGUCAUGAUCUCAUGGUCCCUGAUUUCGAGCCCCACGUCGGGCUCUGUGUUGACAGCUCAGAGCCUGGAGCCUGCUUCGGAUUCUGUGUCUCUCCCUCCCUCUCUGCCCCUCCCCUGCUCACGCUCUGUUUCUCUCUCUCUUUCUCUCUCAAAAAUAAACAUUAAUUUUUUUUUUUUUUAGAUGAAGACUAUGAAGGUGGAAUAAUAAAAGGGGAGGCUCCUUUAGAUUCUGGUGGUCAAGGAGGCCUCUCUGAGAGGUGGCCAAGACCUGAGAGAUAAAACCUACUUGCCCAUUUGAGAGACAAGCUGGGAAGAGAGUUUCCUGCCAGGAGGGCAACAGAGACUUGAGGUUGGAGGGGGAUCUUCAUGGACCACUAGAUAGAACCAGUGACUGGGAGUCAGCUAGACCUGAGUUCAGAAACUUUGUAUGGACCAAACAAGACAGCCGCAACCUGGAUGCAGCCCACUGACUGCAGGGGAAGGGUUGCUACAGGCUUUGCUGGCCACCCUCCUUCAUCACAUCAUCAUCAUCACCACCAACGGCUAACACUGUCUGAGCAGGAGUCAGAGGCUUCAGGCCGGAGCUUUAUGUUCUAGACCCAAGUAUAGCAUCUCCUUGCUGUGUGACUCUCAGCAAGUUACGUAGCCUCUCUGGUUUUGUAGUCCUAAAACGUGGAGAAGAUGAACUGAGAGAGACCCCAUGGACCUGAGACCUGCAGAGUACAGUGUCUCAUGAAAGUGAGAUAACUUUAUUGUGACCGCCUUGUCCCCCCAGCACUGAGUGAGCCAUCUGGGCUCCCACUCUUACCUACUUUGAACUUCAAGGGGCACAGCUAGCAUUGAACCCUGGUUACUCUACUAAGAACGGUUUCCCUAGUGUGAGGGGCCCUGCAGCCUUGGAGACACAAGACCUGGGGUCCCAUCUGGACGUUGCUCACCCUAUUGUAAAGUCUAUAAGAGAUUGGGGAUGACUUUGUUUCUUGUGUCAGGCCAGAGCUAGUGCCUAAUUUAGCCAUGACAGCUCAGGGUGGGAGAAGAAAGAUAAAGGAAGUCUUUCUUUCUUUCUUUCUUUCUUUCUUUCUUUCUUUCUUUCUUUCUCUCUGCCUGUCUCUCUCUUUCUUUCUUUCUAAAAUUAUUUAUUUUGAAAGAGAGAGAGAAUCCCAAGCAGGCUCCGUGCUAUCACUGGGCGCAGAACCUGAUGUGGGGCUCGAACACAUGAACCGUGAGAUCAUGACCUGAGCCGAAACCAAGAGCCAGAUGCUCAACCUACUGAGCCACCCAGACACCCCAGAAGUCUCUUCUGUUGAGCACCUGCUAUGACUCUUUGCUUUACAUACGUGAUUCAUUUAAUGCUCUUAUCUGGCUCUCUGGCAGGGCUUAGCAUUAUCACCAUGUCACAAAGAACAGUAACUGAGGCAUAGAUUAAAGGACUUGCCUGGGGCCACAAGUUGGGCUGAACACAGUGUCUAGUCCAAGGCUCAAGAGUGUCAGGGUCUUUCCCCUGCACCAGGCAAGACUGGAGUGAGUCCAGCCCUUACUCUGAGGUCCACUAUCCUGCUUUAGAAUGGGGGAAGGUGGAAAGUGCUAAUGAUGAACUACUAGGUGAGGUUUCCCUACCGAGGGGUGAGGAGAGGAUUAUGGAAUCUUGGGUUAUCAGAACCUUCAAUACAUUCACAGGCCAUGAUUAAACCACGUAAGGCAUGGAUGCCUGGUUGCCCCCAGUUUCUGUUCUUUCUUCCUCAGUAAUAGAUUUUUAGCCAGGUACCUGUCUUACAUUUUCCAGUCUCCUUUGGAGCCAUUUGAAUAUAAGCCUAGGGUGUAUGCAAUUUCCAGGGAGCUUUCUUAUAGAGAGGGGAAAUGUUUUUCUUCCCCCUUUCAUCUUUCUUGUGGUCUGAAACACAGAUGUGAUGGCUGGAGCUAAGAGCAGCCAUUUUGAACCACAAAGCAAUGCUGGGCAUGAUGGCAGCGCAGCAAGAUAGAGAAGUCUGAGUCCCUGAGGAUUUGUUGGGGGAUCAUUCUCCAUGGAAUUUUUAUACUUCUUGUGAUACCUUUUGUCUGGAGACUUUUUUUUUUCUUUUUUUCAAGAACAUUUGUAUGGCAAAUAGCUGGGGGGUUGGCGGGGACAGAGAUAGUGUGUCUCCUUCUAGAACAGAGAACAGAAGUGUUUCCUGACCAGGAUAAUAAAAAACGUCAUCAUCCAGAGCAAAUGUUGGCUAGAUUUGCUAGCAGUUUUUCAGAAGAUUAGGAGUUUUCUAAACUCAGUAUGUCUCAGCUCUGACACACACCCACAGUGUGCACACCAUCCAUCUGGGCCUUCUGUAUGGGCUCCAUGGAACUUAGGGGACCAGGAGAACCAGUGUAAACAUGAACCUCAUGCUCCCUGCUGUGCUGUAAUAAAAUCCUUUGUCUCUGACCCAGGAGUCUUGUGUCUUCUGUAAGCAUCUGUGAAACUACAGUAGGCUCACUUGUUAGUUUGCAAGUAGGAAAGAAAUCUCAGACUCUUCGUGUUUCUAACAAGGACUUCAAGGAGCAGAGCACUAUCAU